AAUUCCGUAAGAUGCUAAAAUUCAUUUGACAAGAGGAAUGGCAACAUCGUCACUAUCCAGGAAGACAUGUGAUUGUUUGAUAGAAUAAAGCCCUCCGCUCCUCAGCAGAACUUCUGUCUUGCAUAACUGAACCUUUGUACUGGAGGAGCAGCCAGCCCGAAUUUUAUUAACAUCUUCAAGCUCAACAAAGGUUUGCUUGGUCAUAACCCUGAGAAAACCAUGGAGGUGGCAUCUGAAACAUGGGAUUGAUAUGUCUAUACCCCUAUAGCCAUCUGGACAGCUGCACUCCAGGUCUGAUGUGAGGUUCACAGAGCUCUCGUCUAAGGAGCUGGGGCAAGGGAAGAGUGUGGGCUACCAAACAGGUCCAAGUCUUCUAUGGGAUUACUUUUGGGCUACAGUUGAGAAGGACCAACUUGUGGAGUUUCAAUCUCAGCAGAGAUGAUGCUGCCUGCCUGCUAUAAGAGCACUCAGAAUUUAUGGGACGAGCACUGAGUACACAGUCUAGUACAUUGCCGAUUGCAUCAGAGACAUUGUGAUGCAUUACAACAAUUCUAAAAUUACUGUUAUCAUUCAACAUGGAUAAAUGUCCUGAUUCUGAUUGUUAGCCUCUAGAUAUCUUCUUUGAACUGACAGCUGAGUAGAGAGGUCAUCACCUAAGCCAGGAAGUUGGUCAGAAUGUAUCUGCUUCGAUAUGAAAAUAGAUUGAGGAAGAAAACUUGUCUUUGGACAUGGAGUGAAAAGGUGCUGGCACAGAUGCUCCGUCCUUCAAAGUGAUUGACAGCUUGUGAAAACAUCACAGUGAAUCAUGCUGUUUUGUAAGAUGUACUCAGUCUUGGGUGUUAACUGAUAAAUGAAAUUAUCAUGAGUGUGGACAUAAUCUCCAUAACCUGAUGCUCAAUAUUAUUAGGACAUAAGUAAAGUUGCCAUUCAAAGUGAUCAACAGUCUGAGAAAAAUCCUCCAAAUUCUUGGAAGGUCAUUCUUGGAAAUGUGUCCUGUUAGCUAUUUGGAAUUCUUCGCAAUGGACAGAGUGGUUCCCUAAAGGGCUGUCCAUGAUUUAUCCAACAGUGCCCAAGGAAGAUACGUUUUCUCAGCUUGAGAGUCUGUUUGUGAAGGCUGGAAUUUAUCUUGCUGCCAGAUACAAAAGAGGCUGAGAAUUCCCAAGUUCUGCAUCAUCGUGGAGGAGCAAGUGAACUGAUUUCUGUGUCAGUUAUUCCAUUUGCUCCCGGGAGCAAUCGUUCUUUCCAGAUUCAAGUCCUGUUGACUCCUUUCCAAACCUCAAGCAAUUCUUGCCAAGCCAUUUUGGAGAGGCGGUUCUUGGAGAACACACAACCAUAUGGAAUGGAACUCAUGCUCCAUGCCAGCCCACACUGCAGAAUUUGCAUAAUGCAAACCAUGGUCCACCCUAUUGUAAGAAGGGCUUUGGAAAAUAUUCAUUUCUAGGGACUCCAUGCUAAGGUCUAGCAAAUUUUCUAUACAAACAGCCUCAAAGAAUGGCUUGGUAAUGAAUUGCAUCAGUAUUCACUAAUAUUAAGUUCAAAAGGAUGAAAGUAUGAAGCAGUAGUACAGUGUCGCACCUAAGCCCACUCCUACUGGACAUUGUUCAUUUCUUGAGGUUCAUUCCUUGUGUGUUGCUUGGUCAUCAUUAUCAUCCUCAGCUGACUACAGUGCCUAUCAAUAAGUAUAUGCUGAAGAAACGUAUUGUUGCCCUAUUCCCAACAGUUCAUUCCAUGUUCCUUCAAACUGAGAAAAAAACCCCAUAGACAAAGAUACAAAGAGAUGGUGUGUUUUGGGGGUAUAAAUCAAAAAAGUUAUUUUCAACAGAUAGCUGCUAGGAGAAGGAAAAUCAUUUUUCUUCAAUGAAGUGAUAUUGGAUAUAUCUACAGCACACCAGGAAUGGCUCCACACUCAAGAGGAAUCAUCCAACUUCCAUGAGUUUGGAUUUUCCUUUGAUAGGGAAAACACAAUGCUGGAUAGGUAAGGAGGUAAUAAAUUACCUGGGAAGAAUGCAGAAGAGGAAUAAACAUAGUCAAAACAUGAAUUUUUUGAAAGAAUAAAGAAACAUUAUUUUCGCUUCAGAUGCUGUACUAUUUUCAAGAAGAUCAAAUGCAUAUUUGGCUGCACAGUUAUAUCAUCAGACUGCUCCCUCCCCAUGGAGGAUCCAUUGUGUUUUAUCUUGACUAUGAGUCUGGAUAAGGUUGUGUUCUACUGCCCAAGACUGUCUCCCAGACUGCUGCAUGCUCCAUCUUGAUCACACACGGCACAGCUUCUAAUUGACAGAAGAGCAGCAGUGAUUCAAGGUCCCCACAGGU
rnacentral:lncRNA from 1 species